AUUGUAGUGAGUAAUUAAUGGAUGAUGGAAACAAUUAAUUGGAUUAAUUAUGUGUUGUGAUUAAUUUAGAAAGUCUAAAGAAAUCAUAAAAGCGAUAAAGAUCGCUUUGGGCUUAAAGAAACGUUCGGGUUUAAUUGGGCCCAUUGGGCCUAAACCCAUUGGGCUUUUAUUCAAGCAUUGGAUGACUUGAAAUAAAUGAAAGCCCAAAGCCCAAACAACACAAAGAGGGCCGGCCACUUUAGGUGGAAAGGGUGAGAUAUUUAGUCAAGUUGUUGACUAGGUUUCUUUUGUCUAUAUAAGGAACUUUAUAAGAUAUUGUUCAUAAGGGUUUUUGUGUGGUUAAAAACAACAAAGAGGCAAAAGAAUAUCUCUCUAAGAACUACACAAAGGCCCACCACCUUGGGGUGAUUUUACUAACAUAUCUUUCACCCUUUGGUUAUUCCUUCAUCCUUCUCACUACACUAGUGGGUGAGGAUCUUUAGAGGUUUCCUACUUUGGAAACUUGAAGAGAACCUAGGAGCACUCAUUCUAUCAAAGUGGAGGAGGCAAGGAGGGAAGCUAGGCUCAAGGAGUUCAAGGAACAAAGGGCUUGGAGGUGGUCCAUCCUUGGUCUCAAGUCUAGAUCGAGAGGUAUAAGACUAAACCUUCACUUUGUUCUUUUCUCUAAAAUUUUAUUUGAUGCAUUAUAUAUAAACCUAUGAACCUUGAAGGGGAUUUGCAUGACUAUAGCUUUGAUAAUUUGUUUUAAAUGCUUCCGCUGCUUUCGUAUAUUAAAUUUGAUUUGUAUAUGCAUGAUAGUCAUUUAGAAAUCCCAUCCAUGAAUCUCAUAGAUUUCCCUUCAAAUUGGGCAUUGACAAUCCGCUAAGGUUAGUAUGUGUUAUGUCAACUCAAGCAUGAGUAUGACUUGUCUUAAGUCAUUUAGUGUUGGACACUAAGACAAACACAUAGGUGCUCGAAAGAGUAAUCGAGUACACUGAACAACGAUCAAAAGAGAGUUCGAACAUACAUGUCAUGUAAGAACUCGAUAGUUGCAAUAUGCAAAGUAGUCCUUUGACCUGAGGCAUCAUAAAUGUCUAAUGGUUAGGUCCAUGCCUUUGUGCUUUCUACUA
rnacentral:lncRNA from 1 species